rnacentral:rRNA from 1 species
AACGUAGGACGCAAGCGCUAUCCGGAAUUACUGGGCGUAAAGCGCGUGUAGGCGGAUGUUUAAGUCACUGUUGAAAGCUCCCGGCUAAACUGGGAGAGGUGCGGUGAUACUGGACAUCUAGAGGGGGUCAGAGGGAUGCAGAAUUCCGGGUGUAGUGGUGAAAUGCGUAGAGAUCCGGAGGAAUACCAGAGGCGAAGGCGGCAUCCUGGGACUUACCUGACGCUGAGACGCGAAAGCAUGGGGAGCGAACGGG